GAAUUCACUAGUGAUUUCCGGUUGAUCCUGCCGGACCCGACUGCUAUCAGAGUGGGACUAAGCCAUGCGAGUCGACGUAGCAAUACGUGGCGAACGGCUCAGUAACACGUAGUCAACAUGCCCAGGGGACGUGGAUAAUCUCGGGAAACUGAGAAUAAACCACGAUAGGUCACGAUUUCUGGAAUGGAUCUUGGCUUAAAUCUACAUGGCCCCUGGAUUGGACUGCGGCCGAUCAGGCUGUUGGUGAGGUAAUGGCCCACCAAACCUAUAACCGGUACGGGCUCUGAGAGGAGGAGCCCGGAGAUGGGCACUGAGACAAGGGCCCAGGCCCUAUGGGGCGCAGCAGGCGCGAAACCUCUGCAAUAGGCGAAAGCCUGACAGGGUUACUCUGAGUGAUUUCCGCUAAGGGGAUCUUUUGGCACCUCUAAAAAUGGUGCAGAAUAAGGGGUGGGCAAGUCUGGUGUCAGCCGCCGCGGUAAUACCAGCACCCCGAGUGGUCGGGACGAUUAUUGGGCCUAAAGCAUCCGUAGCCGGUUCUGCAAGUCUUCCGUUAAAUCCAGCCGCUCAACGGAUGGGCCGCGGAGGAUACUAUAGGACUAGGAGGCGGGAGAGGCAAGCGGUACUCAGUGGGUAGGGGUAAAAUCCUUUGAUCCAUUGAAGACCACCAGUGGCGAAGGCGGCUUGCCAGAACGCGCUCGACGGUGAGGGAUGAAAGCUGGGGGAGCAAACCGGAUUAGAUACCCGGGUAGUCCCAGCUGUAAACGAUGCAGACUCGGUGAUGGGCUAGCCUUGUGCCAGCCCAGUGCCGCAGGGAAGCCGUUAAGUCUGCCGCCUGGGGAGUACGGUCGCAAGACUGAAACUUAAAGGAAUUGGCGGGGGAGCACCACAAGGGGUGAAGCCUGCGGUUCAAUUGGAUUCAACGCCGGGAAUCGAAUUCCCGCGGCC
rnacentral:rRNA from 1 species